rnacentral:tRNA from 1 species
GGGAAAGUGGCUCAGUGGUAAAGUGCUUGCCUUGCAUGCAUGAGGUCCUGGGUUCAAUUCCUCAGCACCA